rnacentral:tRNA from 1 species
GGAGAUGGACGGUCCGGUGGUAGCGCGCGUCGUUCGGUACGACGAGGCCGGAGGUUUAAAUCCUCUCACCUCGACCA